UAACUGCGAGUGAAGCGGGAAAGCUCAAAUUUAAAAUCUGGCGGUCUUCGGCCGUCCGAAGUUGUAAUCUGGAGAAGCGUUUUCCGCGCCGGACCGUGUACAAGUCUCUUGGAACAGAGCGUCAUAGAGGGUGAGAAUCCCGUCUUUGACACGGACUACCGGUGCUAUGUGAUGCGCUCUCGAUGAGUCGAGUUGUUUGGGAAUGCAGCUCAAAAUGGGUGGUAAAUUCCAUCUAAAGCUAAAUAUUGGCGAGAGACCGAUAGCGAACAAGUACCGUGAGGGAAAGAUGAAAAGCACUUUGGAAAGAGAGUUAAACAGUACGUGAAAUUGCUGAAAGGGAAACGAUUGAAGUCAGUCGCGUGUGCUAGAACUCAGCCUUGCUUUUGCUUGGUGCAUUUUCUAGUGUACGGGCCAGCAUCAGUUUCGGCUGCCGGAAAAAGGCCUUGGGAAUGUGGCACCUUCGGGUGUGUUAUAGCCCUCGGUUGUAUACGGUGGCUGGGACUGAGGAACUCAGCACGCCUUUAUGGCGGGGCUUCGGCCACCUUCGUGCUUUGGAUGCUGGCGUAAUGGCUUUAAACGACCCGUCU
rnacentral:rRNA from 1 species